rnacentral:rRNA from 1 species
GGCUACGGCCAUAUCACGAUGAAUGCACCUCAUCCCGUCCGAUUUGAGAAGUUAAGCAUCGUCGAGCCACAUCAGUACUGAGGUUG